rnacentral:lncRNA from 12 species
GAAACACAGCAGCUUUUGGAGGAAGAUGCUGAUUGCCAAGGGGAAGUGAAAUCUGAGCCUUCUGUCAGAAUCUGCAGAUGCAGAAGAGCAGGUCAUUCUUCUGCUGAUAGAGCAUCAGGCUCUACUCAAAGCCCACUUGAAUGAAUCACCCAGUUGUGGCAUGAAAAGUCCUCAUAAG